rnacentral:rRNA from 1 species
UAGGGAAUCUUCCGCAAUGGACGCAAGUCUGACGGAGCAACGCCGCGUGAGUGAAGAAGGAUUUCGGUUCGUAAAACUCUGUUGUUAGAGAAGAACAGCGCAUAGAGUAACUGUUAUGCGUGUGACGGUAUCUAACCAGAAAGCCACGGCUAACUACGUGCCAGCAGCCGCGGUAAUACGUAGGUGGCAAGCGUUGUCCGGAUUUAUUGGGCGUAAAGCGCGCGUAGGCGGUUUUUUAAGUCUGAUGUGAAAGCCCACGGCUCAACCGUGGAGGGUCAUUGGAAACUGGAAAACUUGAGUGCAGAAGGGGAGAGUGGAAUUCCAUGUGUAGCGGUGAAAUGCGUAGAUAUAUGGAGGAACACCGGUGGCGAAAGCGGCUCUCUGGUCUGUAACUGACGCUGAGGCUCGAAAGCGUGGGGAGCGAACAGG